UACAGAGGUGGCAAGCGUUGUUCGGAAUUACUGGGCGUAAAGGGCGCGUAGGCGGUUCGAUAAGUCCCGUGUGAAAUCCCCCGGCUCAACUGAGGAAUGGCACGGGAAACUGACGGGCUUGAGUUCGGGAGAGGGAAGCGGAAUUCCGGGUGUAGCGGUGAAAUGCGUAGAUAUCCGGAGGAACACCGGUGGCGAAGGCGGCUUCCUGGACCGACACUGACGCUGAGGCGCGAAAGCUAGGGGAGCAAACGGG
rnacentral:rRNA from 1 species